rnacentral:tRNA from 1 species
GCAGGGGUAGCCAAGUUGGUCAAACUCCGGGUGGACGCACCGCCCACGAUCACCGGCGCGGGACUCAAGAUCCCGUCUCACAGGAGUACGCGGGUUCAAAAUCACCCCGGCGCGCCCCGGGUGAUGGAAUUCCCGUCCCCUGCA